AGGGCCCCCCCUGGGCAAAGGGGUAACCCCAGGGGCCGCCGGAAAAAGGCGGCUUUUCCUUGGUCUAAAACCCCUAGGGAAUAAGAGGGGGGCAAGACUGGUGUCAGCCGCCCCGGUAACACCAGCCCCUCGAGUGGUGGGGAUGAUUAUUUGGCCUAAAGCGUCCGUAGCCGGGCCGGGUAAGUCUCCCGUUAAAUCCAGCGUCUCAAGCGUUGACUGCGGGAGAUACUGUCUGGCUAGAGAGUGGGGAGAGGUGUACGGUAUUCUGGGGGUAGGGGCGAAAUCACACUAGAACACGUCUGACGGUCAGGGACGAAAGCUGGGGUAGCGAACCGGAUUAGAUACCCGGGUAGUCCCAGCCGUAAACGAUGCACGCUAGGUGUUGGGGCGGGGCUCCGAGCCCCGAUUAGUGUCGGAGAGAAGUUGUUAAGCAAGCUGCCUGGGAAGUACGAUCGCAAGAUUGAAACUUAAAGGAAUUGGCGGGGGGAGCACAGCAACGGGUGGAGCGUGCGGUUUAAUU
rnacentral:rRNA from 1 species